AAUUGGGCUGUGCUAGAAGCUGGAAGAAAUCUUGAGAACGAGACUACUCCCAAGUGAUAAUCAGGAGAAAUAAUGCCAAUCAUAAAAGUGCGGUAGAUCAGAAUAUGUUCACGGUCAAAGCAAUUGUUCUUAUGUAGCUCAAAUUGUUUAAAAAUCGUAAGAAUUUAAGAAUAGGGGCCAAGCUGUUUGCGCUUGUGUUUUUUCUGUCAAUUAACCUGUCCUCAAUGUGUCCAGCAUAUCUUCCUAAUUGUGUUCGGUCGUUAAUAUAAAUCAAGUAGUGGGCCUAUUGCUGACUCCCAGAGAACUAUCCCUUAGACUUUCUUCCAAUCUGUAAAACAACAGUUCACUACUACUUAAGUACACAGUUCCAGUUUUGUUUUUGGGUCUUAUUCUAGGAUUCCACUUGCUGUUUCUGAUACAGGGAAGGGCUCUGAGUUUGUUACUCUGGGGGUGGCGAGGCUUCUGGCUCCAGGAGGAAAUGUUGGAGAUUCCUGGCGCGCCGACUGAAUCAAUAUUUACCGAGGAAAAUGCAAAUACAAGGACAAAAUUUUCAAACCUGGUCAAAAGUUUCAAAGAGGUUGUGACAAGUGUUACUGUGCAGAGGGAGGUUACUACUGUGUCACACCAAUGAGACCAACAUCAUGGCCUAAGAAAUGUAAACCUAUAUAUAUGGAUUGUGGUUACCGGAUUGUGUAUCGCUCUGAUCCAGAAAGAGAGUGCUAUGCUUACAGCUGGGUUGGCUGAACCUAAUCACUUCAUGGAAUGAUUCUUCCUCUCAUCUUCAUCCUUGAUGACACACUAGUUGUUUUUUUUUU